rnacentral:sRNA from 1 species
GCUGGGCAUGGUGGCACAUGCCUGUAAUCCCAGUGGCUUGGGAGGCUGAGGUAGGACAUUUAUUACCCAAUGCACAUUUCCAUUCAAAGCCUCCUCAGCAACUUACUGAGGCCCUAAGCAACUUAGUAAGACCCUGUCUUAA